ACAGUUACCUGGUGGAGGCGAUACCAUGGUCAAAUGGGUAGUUUUCCUAGGGUGGCUCAUCCAGGGCACUCAGGGUGUGCUUGCCCCUGCGAUUUCCCCACACGGGGCAAACUUGACUGUAUAAUUUGUGGUGGGGGUGGGGAUGGAGUGUGUUCGUGCUUUAC